CAGCAUAUUGGAAAUAAAUAAAAGAUAAACAAAUCUUUUCAUUUAAAACCCAAUAGAGGAACCUGAGCAGGUGAGCACGGAUGUGGGCGUGGCCUGUGGAAGAAGCGAUCAGAACCCGGAAGUGAAACAGUGUAAAGAUACAGCGAAAGUUUGAUGCCAGAGCCACAGUGUGAAAUAAACAGAAGAGUGAUGACAUCAAAACAGCCGGCCGUGGAUGUUUGUUCUCCGCUGCCUCCCCUCCCUCCGUGGACGAUGGCGGCGGCGAUGAUGGUCUGGCAGCAGAGAUUGUCCCCCGACACCAGGAACAAUUUUCAUCACCGUUGUUUGGUCCCUGACGAAUGAAAACACAUCCUUCGACCUCAGACUCCCGCCACCCCCGGGCAGUUUUUGCAUCCUCUUGCAUUAUGCUGGUGUUUACACAUGUGAAAGGACGGCGUCCAGGACGGCAUUCUGGUGUCACAGGAGAAGAAGAUGGAGAUGAAGAAGAAGGAGGAGAUGAAGAAGAAGGAGAUGAAGGAGGAGGAGGAGAAGAAGAAGCUGGACCUCAGGUACUUUUUUAAACUCCAUUUUUUUCUGCUUCUCCUUGAGAGAAAAAGUUGUGAAAUAAUUGGAAAAAUGCUGAAAGUUAAAGAUGCCAUUAUCACAGAGGCAUUGUAGAGAAUUAUUUUUUUCUUAGAUGGAAACCUGGAAACUGUCUUCAGCCCUGAGGGGAGAAAAGAAGUCAGAUUUCCCCCCAAAUUCAUCAGAGAAGAUCACAUUAAACUGCUGCAGCAGUAAAGUUUGAUAUGAUUCUCCUGCAGGGCAUCGUUGUGUUUGAAUGUCAUGAUUAAAAAAAAUCUCUCCCAUCGUGAACUGAACUCUUAGAUGAAUCACAUCUGUGCAUGCGAUCCAGUCCCUGCCUCCCCCCUCGUCCCCCUCCUCUCCCUCCCUCCCUCCUCCCUCCUCCUGUGUGAAUGUCAGCUCUGCUGCCUAUUGCAGACGCGGCUGAGGUACAAAGACUCCCCAAAUCCUCCAAUAUGUGCAGCGAUGGGCGGCACUGUAGCGCAGCCUCUCAAGUGUCAGAACUUAAAACUCCUGCGCGCCGCUCUGCCUCAGAAUGUGGAGGCUCCGCGCCAACACGGUGACACUCUGAGUGUAGACACUUAGACAAGAAGCGGAGCAGGGUUUUUUUUUUCUUUUUUCUUUUUUCCUCCCUCCUCUUCUCUCCAUCACCUCCUCCGUGGAUGCUGUGGC